rnacentral:rRNA from 1 species
GACGAACGCUGGCGGCGUGCUUAACACAUGCAAGUCGAACGGAAAGGCCCUGCUUUUGUGGGAUGCUCGAGUGGCGAACGGGUGAGUAACACGUGAGUAACCUGCCCUUGACUUUGGGAUAACUUCAGGAAACUGGGGCUAAUACCGGAUAGGAGCUCCUGCUGCAUGGUGGGGGUUGGAAAGUUUCGGCGGUUGGGGAUGGACUCGCGGCUUGUCAGCUUGUUGGUGGGGUAGUGGCUUACCAAGGCUUUGACGGGUAGCCGGCCUGAGGGGGUGACCGGCCACAUUGGGACUGAGAUGCGGCCCAGACUCCUACGGGAGGCAGCAGUGGGGAAUAUUGCACAAUGGGCGGAAGCCUGAUGCAGCAACGCCGCGUGCGGGAUGACGGCCUUCGGGUUGUAAGCCGCUUUCGCCUGUGACGAAGCGUGAGUGACGGUAAUGGGUAAAGAAGCACCGGCUAACUACGUG